GGCCUACAUUCUUUCAAAUGAAAUCACACUAAUCCGUGCAUACACGUGUAUUGCACACUGAUGAAAUUGCUCAUUAAAAAGAUUAUUUAUAAUUACAUUUAUAGUUAUUUGUGAGGUGACUUUUUUUUUCUUUAGACAUAUGAUCAGUUCAUUGUUACGUGCUUGGGUACAACGCCAACAACGUUUCAGCAGCACGUGGACCUGUGAACGCGGGAGAACAGCAGAGCGUGCAGGCCUGAUGGUGAACCCUAAGAAGCUGCCAUGUUAGAGCUGCUGCAGGCCCCGGUUCUGUGGGAAUAGCAAAAUGAACGCCAUUACACCUGACAGCAUAUUCAGUUCCUCAGACAUCAUUGUGACAGACCUGGUCCCAUGAUCGGCCUAAUAAUUAAAGCUAUCCUGCAACCGGCGCCGUACUGCUGUGCUGCAUGCGCAUCAGGGGCCCAUGACAUGAUACAGAGGGACAGCUUAACUAUUAAAUAUCCAUCACGCCACGCCACAUCAGUCCUAAUGCAAUCAGAAACACAUGACUACAUCGCCCGGGCCCCCACUUCAAUCCACAAUGAUUAAAUGACAGUUCGAUUUGAUUGGGAAGAGGGGGGAUCUACUGUAGCUGCGCAGACUUAUUCGAGGCUUUGUGUACUUCAGAGAGAACGCACGUGGGCUGUGGUCUUUUUGCUGUAUUAUCAUUUUAAUGAAGCAGGGUAUUUCUUUUGUGGUCGGGAGGCUCUAAUGCAGUUGUCCAAGACUCCCCUUUCAUCUGUCUUCUUCAAAUGCUCGAGGUUGUUAAACAAAUGGAUGUGUCUGAGUAUAUAACGCUGAUGUGGCCAGGCUGUUGUUGACUGGGCCAAUUAGGGCUCAGAGAGAAAAGAAUAAGGCAUGUCUGUUCACUCACUCAAACCGUCAUACAAUACAGUCUGGCUGCUUUGUGUUUAUUAAAAUCACCUGGAUCCUUAAGGAUUUUGUAGAACACACCGUAGUAUGACAUUGCUAUCUGACGAUUUUCAUUAUCAGGACUUCCUGUACUGUUUUUAUCUUGCUAAUUAGCAUCUAAUUAUAAUAAAAAUGUUUUCCUCGUACCUGAUAUGUCAUGAAUUACCCGAUACCGUUGUCUCCGUGUUUAAAUGAGUGAGCAUCUUUAGAAAAAUGUUUAAUUUUACACCCAAGAGAUGAUAAUGAUGCAUACCUGUUUUCUUUAGUCGUAAUGAGAAUGCUGAAAUACGACAACGCUGAUUUCUCAAUGUGCUAAUUACUGAGCAAGUGCUGAUGCGCUAGUGGCUAAAGAUGUAUCCAAGUAAUAUUGUCAGUCAUGUUCUUUUCCAUAACGUCCACAACAAAAAUAGUUUUUGAAGAAAUAUGGUAGUUACGCUUUAAAAUAUAACAUUUUGAAAAUAAAUAGCAAGAAUUGCAUUAAAACAAUUUAAGAGUGUUAAUUUCAUUCAAUAAAUGCAAAUUUGAUGUUUAUUUAUUAAAGUUAAAUGCACUCAUAGUGGUUGUUCGCUCUUUGUAAUUGUAAUUCAUUUGUCUCCUUAUUCCCACUCUUUGAGCUUAGUAAAAAUAUAUUCCUUGUAUUUGGUUUUGCAGACAUAAUAUAUAUAUUUUUUUUUUGUAACAUAAAAUACAUAAUUUUUAACUGUUUUCUCCUUCAGAAGUUUAAUACGUUUUGUGGCUGUUUUAAGAUCUGAUUUGAUAGCAGUAUUAAAAAGUAAAAAAUUGUUCCUGGUUGUAUGAAUAUCUCUAGACAAGACAGAGGAAAGGUCUAAUGAAGGAAAGCAGAGUGCAAAUAUGUACAUUUAGCAUAAAUAUUCUGUUUUAUUAUUGUUUUUGUAUUUUUUUUUUUUUCCAUGCUUUUAACAGUUGUCUUGCUUGGUGGUGUUUACAUAUAAUCUCAUGUCCCUUUUGAAGGCAGUCCUUCCUUGUUUGUAAAAUAAAUUUGUAUUGACUAAUAUUGGUAUGUAAAUAUAAAAUAUAACAGUUCACAUUAUAGAGCUUUUGAGUACGCUGUUACAUGUAUGACAUACCACCUUUGUAUACUUACAUUUACUUUUCACAUGAUUAAGUUAUAAAUGUAAUUGACACUAUAAUAUGACUAAUAAGAUAUUUGACAGAAUUUAUUAAAACGAUUUUCUAAAUAAAUGAAUGAAACCAAAGAAG